rnacentral:rRNA from 1 species
GACGUAGGGGGCGAGCGUUGUCCGGAUUUAUUGGGCGUAAAGCGUGCGUAGGCGGCUGCGCAAGUCGGUUGUGAAACCCCGGGGCUCAACCCCGGAACUGCAUCCGAUACUGCGUGGCUAGAGGUAGGUAGGGGAGAUCGGAAUUCCUGGUGUAGCGGUGAAAUGCGCAGAUAUCAGGAGGAACACCGGUGGCGAAGGCGGGUCUCUGGGUCGGUACUGACGCUGAGGAGCGAAAGCGUGGGGAGCGAACAGG